UGUGACUCCUACGGGAGGCAGCAGUGGGGAAUAUUGCACAAUGGGGGAAACCCUGAUGCAGCCAUGCCGCGUGUGUGAAGAAGGCCUUCGGGUUGUAAAGCACUUUCAGUAGGGAGGAAGGUAGUGUAGUUAACACCUGCAUUUAUUUGACGUUACCUACAGAAGAAGCACCGGCUAACUCCGUGCCAGCAGCCGCGGUAAUACGGAGGGUGCGAGCGUUAAUCGGAAUUACUGGGCGUAAAGCGCAUGCAGGCGGCCUGUUAAGUCAGAUGUGAAAGCCCGGGGCUUAACCUCGGAAUUGCAUUUGAAACUGGCAGGCUAGAGUCUUGUAGAGGGGGUAGAAUUUCAGGUGUAGCGGUGAAAUGCGUAGAGAUCUGAAGGAAUACCAGUGGCGAAGGCGGCCCCCUGGACAAAGACUGACGCUCAGAUGCGAAAGCGUGGGGAGCAAACAGGAUUAGAUACCCUGGUAG
rnacentral:rRNA from 1 species